rnacentral:lncRNA from 1 species
UCCAUUUGUUUUCUUUACCUGGCAAUCGUUUGACCUUAUAAAGCCCUUUCAGCGUGUUCAGGGUCAAUAUCUCUGCUGUCUCUGGCGUUACGUGAAGUUG